rnacentral:misc_RNA from 1 species
GAAAGAACGCAGCGAAAUGCGAUACGUAAUGUGAAUUGCAGAAUUCAGUGAAUCAUCGAGUCUUUGAACGCACAUUGCGCCCCCUGGUAUUCCGGGGGGCAUGCCUGUCCGAGCGUCAUUGCUGCCCUCAAGCACGGCUUGUGUGUUGGGCCUCCGUCCUCCUCCCGGGGGACGGGCCCGAAAGGCAGCGGCGGCACCGCGUCCGGUCCUCGAGCGUAUGGGGCUUCGUCACCCGCUCUUGUAGGCCCGGCCGGCGCUUGCCGACACAUCAAUCUUUUUUCCAGGUUGACCUCGGAUCAGGUAGGGAUACCCGCUGAACUUAAGCAUAUCAAUAAGCGGAGGA